GUUGGGCAGAGCAGCAGAAGAGACUUACCAGAGCAGAAUGCAUGCCUGUGUACAGACGACUCAGACACACCAACACAGACAGCACCACCGCCACAAGCAGACCCACUUCAAACUGGAACUGUGGACAGAAAAUAGAGUUGGGGGGCUUUCAGAAGAAGUUAAUGAAGAAUGGACUCUGAAUGGACACAAAGGAUGUUGGGAUGGAGGGGCCACUGUGAUUGACUGUCCUGACCUUUCACCCCUCAGAACCUAAGAGAUCGCCUCAGGCCAUUCAGACCACUAAACAUCUAUAGCUAUGUACCCUCUCAGAAACAGAAACUAAGUCACCACAUGCAUAGCUAUGCAUGCUCUCUCAGAAUCAAUGUCACCGCGGCAGAACACUACCACUGUAUCUGAGGCUGGUGUUGUUUGAGUAGCUGGUUGAUUGAUUGUUCUGUGUGAGACAGAGAGAAAAUAGAGAGUGAGAGAGCAGAGAGAGAGAGAGUAGAGAGAGAGAGCAGAGAGAGAGAGAGUGAAGAGAGAUCGACAGUAAUUUACUCUAGUCUAUCAGAGGAACAAAGCAGCUGUGUGGGUGUGUCUGAUGGUGACUGUUGGUGCCUAAUGGUGACUGUUGGUGCCUGAUGGUGAAUGAUGGUGACUGGCCGCUCCGCCCCUCCCAGCACAUUGCCAGGAAGGGCAGUCAGGGUCAGGACUCAGGGACUCAGGAGAGACAAGCCCCCUGAACAGAGAUACGUACACCUAUUUCAGGUCCUUCAAAUCUGCACUGAAGGUCUAGAGGCAAGUCGGGGGGUUUUCAGACAAGGCUGUACAGAGUCCGGCAAACUACACUGAACAAAAAUAUAAAUACAACAUUAAAGUGUUGGUUCCAUGUUUCAUGAGCUGAAAUAAAAAAUCACAGAAAUUUUCCAUACGCACAAAAAGCUUAUUUGUUUCAAAUAUUGUGCACAAUAUCCCUGUUAGUGAGCAUUGUAGGGAAUAACUAUGUUGGCACCAAACUCUCCAUAUUUAUUUUACAUCUAUAGUUCUGUACAGGCCUUGUCCCAGGGGAAUGAGCAAGUGAUGAGUCUCCCUCAAGACUGAGUAGCAGAAGCUUGGCAGGGGACCCAAGAGGCUCAGGGUGCUGCAUGGGCCUCACUUGAACCCUGGAAGGGGCGCUGAGGAGUAGGGUGAAGAAGAUGGCGGUGGUGGCCAUGACGUGGGUGGAGGGAAGGCCAUACUCAGCAUCCACACGCUUCUCCAGCUUCACCACUGGGGGCGAUAGAGGGCGUGGCAGCUUCAGCACAUCCUUCAGGGCCUGGCCGAUGUACAUCACCAUCUGGAGGAGAGGAGAGAAUGAGAAGAGAGAAGAGGAGGAGAAAAUAAGCACAGAGGACAGGAAAAGAGGAGGCAGAGAGGAGGGAGACUUACAGUCCAGAUGUUGACAAGGCGUCUGCAGAGGAAGGGGUCCAGGUUCCAGUGUAAGCAAGGAGGGAAGGUGAUGUAGAAGACCUCGUGACCCAGCCCGGCCGACACCAGGAACAGGAAGUAUAGCAGCCGGUUCCUCACCUCAUACUGGGGCCUAGCAGACACCUGUGGGCACUUCCAUUUCCAGGAGUCACCAUCAGGACCGCCAAUGUGUGAUGGAGGGAAAAGAGAAACAGAAGCACGUCUGAUCCAGUUCUGACAUCAUCCUCAUCCGCGCCAGCUUCAUCAUGAUGGUGUCGACAGAGAUGUCAGCAUAGCGAAUAGCUCUGAAGCAACUCUGCACUAUUUUGUUUGUUUAUGUACUAUUUUUUUACGUUAUUAGCUCAAUAAUUGUUUUGUAUCAUACACACAGCCGGGAAGAACUUUAGGAUAUUAGAGUGGCGAUAACUCACCAGAACUUCCAGCAUUACAACCCGGAUUAUCACUUCUCUGGAGCAGAUCUCUUGUUUGCUCUCCCCAGAGCAAUCUAACUUAUUCCGGAUGCUGACCCAAAACCACGCCGGAGAAGGAGAGGUACUCGAGGCGGUCUUCUGGUCUGAUUUAAGAAGCAUGCACACCACCCACCGCUCCGGAGUAUUUUACACGCUAAUGUCCAAUCUCUGGAUAAUAAAAUUGAUAAGCUCAAGGCGAGAGUUUCUUUUCAGAGAGACACCAGGGAUUGUAACGUACUCUCCUGCAGGGAAACAUGGCUUUCUCAAGAUAUACUGUCUGACGCGGUAAAACCAGUUGGUUUAUCAGUACAUCGCGCCGACAGGAACAAACAUCUCUGGGAAGGGUGGAGGUAUAUGAAGGGUGGAGGUAUAUGAAGGGUGGAGGUAUAUGAAGGGUGGAGGUAUAUGAAGGGUGGAGGUAUAUGAAGGGUGGAGGUAUAUGAAGGGUGGAGGUAUAUGUUUCAUGAUUCAUCACUUAUGGUGUAACUGUUCUGAAUAUCUCACAAUUAAAUGCAGACCGUACAAUCUCCUGAGAGAAUUUUUGUCAAUAAUAGCAACAGCGGUCUAUAUCCUCUCCAAGCGGAUACCACAAAGGCCCUCAAAGAACUUCACUGGACUUUAUGCAAACUGGAAUCCAUAUAUCCUGAGGCUGCAUUGUCACGUUCGCUGGAAUAAUUAUCGGACCAAGCUGCAGCGCGAUAUGGUUUCCACAUAUUAUUUAUUAGAAACACACAAAACAACAAAGAAAGAAUGAAACAAACAACGAACCGUAGCAAUAACGUGUAACAUACACUAACUCAAAACAAUAUCCCAUAAAACAGGUGUAAAAAAUGCUACUUAUCUAUGAUCCCCAAGUAGAGACAACGAGAGCCAGCUGCCUCUAAUUGGGAAUCAUACCAAAUACCAACAUAGAAAAAAUAAACUAGAACCCCACAUAGAAAAUAAUAACUAGAAAACCCCUCAGUCACGCCUUGACCUACUCUACCAUAGAAAAUAAGGGCUCUCUAUGGUCAG